UACAGAGGUCUCAAGCGUUGUUCGGAUUCAUUGGGCGUAAAGCGCACGUAGGCGGAUUGUUAAGUCGGGGGUGAAAUCCUGGAGCUCAACUCCAGAACUGCCUUCGAAACUGGCGAUCUUGAGUCCGGGAGAGGUGAGUGGAACUGCGAGUGUAGAGGUGAAAUUCGUAGAUAUUCGCAAGAACACCAGUGGCGAAGGCGGCUCACUGGCCCGGUACUGACGCUGAGGUGCGAAAGCGUGGGGAGCAAACAGG
rnacentral:rRNA from 1 species